AUGCGGCGGUGCCGGGGCGCAGGGCUGGCGGGGCUGGCCGCGGUGCUCCUGGUAGCAGUGGGCAGAGCCCAGGUGCAGCAGGAGCCGUUGGCAGAGACCACCGAGGGCACCGGCAUCAGCAUCAGCUGCUCACACCCCAACAUACAGACCAGAGACUUCAUCCUCUGGUACCGUCAGCUCCCGGGCCGAGGCCCCGCAUUCCUCGUGAGCGGCACUAAAGGGUCCAAAGAGCUGCGGGACCCUGCGGGGCGGCUGUCGGUGGCGGCAGACCGCCGGUCCAGCGCCCUGUGGCUCGCCCGGCCCCGGCGCGGGGACGCGGCGGUGUAUUACUGCGCCCAUCACAUACCUGAGCGUCCCAGUAGACUCUCUGGGAAUGAAGCAGCACCCACAGUAGAAGAAAGAAUUAAGGAGCUCUUCCUACCAAUUGGACAUACAUACCAGGGAAAAAACUCUUUCCAUGAAGGUGGUCAAGUGCUGGAGUACUUUGUGCAGAGAGGUUAUGGGAUCUCUGUCAUUGGAAGUGUUCAGAACUUGCCUGGACUCAGCCCUGAGUAA